CCUCUUUCCAUCGUGCUUCUCGUUCCUCUAAAACUUAAGUGUAUCUGACUGCCACAGAUGGCAGUCAAUGGGCACGGAAAGACCGACUGGAGCAUGCUGGCAACAUCUAGGUUCUUUUUUGUUCAAGCCCGUUUCUUGGAAGGUUCGUCCCUCGCAGCACGUGUUAAACAAUCAAGCAAGUCAGCCUUUAUCGGUUGGAAGACAAGAACGGCGGUGCAUCAGCGCUGGUCGUCAUCGCGGAGGGGCUGCACCUUGCUGUUCCUGGCGGCCAUCUGACUUGAACUUCAAGAACCACUAUAAGGAGCACGCUUCAACAGUUCAACUUCGAUGGGCACGGCAAGACCGGCAGGAGCAUGUUGGCUCAAUCUACGUGCUUUUUAGUUCAGGUAUAUGGCAUUCAAGAAACUCCCGAUGAAACAGAUCAUGGAAUCAGAGAUGCCGAGCCACUGAAGCAGGCGUUGGCGAGCCACCAGAACAAGGCCAACGCUGGGCAGAUGGACGCAACAGAAUCCAAAAUGGCAAUAACCUGACCUGCUGUGGUAAUGAUGAAGUGAAACGAACGCUACAAGAGGAAACAAAACCUGAAGGUCGGUUCUGGCGGCGCCCAUGCCGAGCUGCUGCAAAAGCGUCUGUGACAACACUGGAGAAGAGGAACGAGCAACGUGCCUGAAGUGUGCUUCCUCUCAAGCGGACUUCAAUUAGUCACUAGCCGGUAUCAA